UACGUAGGGGCUAGCGUUGUCCGGAAUCAUUGGGCGUAAAGCGCGUGUAGGCGGUCCGGUAAGUCCGCUGUGAAAGUCGGGGCUCAACCCUCGGAUGCCGGUGGAUACUGUCGGGCUUGAGUACGGAAGAGGCGAGUGGAAUUCCUGGUGUAGCGGUGAAAUGCGCAGAUAUCAGGAGGAACACCAAUUGCGAAGGCAGCUCGCUGGGACGUUACUGACGCUGAGACGCGAAAGCGUGGGGAGCAAACAGGAUUGAGAUA
rnacentral:rRNA from 1 species